UUUCCUAUAUAAGGUUUAGGCUUCCUUGCUAUGAACAUUCUGCAUUGUUCUCUCCAUCAACACCUCCAGAUGAAGCAAACAUCUAACAUAUGGUUGGGGGAAUUUCGGAGCAUUCUACUUAAACAGCAACUACAACAGCCCAUUGAUCUGGAAGUGAAAGAAAAAGGAGAACAGCAGGAGAUGAAAAAUCAGGUGAGGAGAGACUGUGGGGGCAGACCUGGAGGAUGUAGUUCUUUCAGAGGCCCACCACCCACCAAGCCUAGCUUCCCUCCUAAAAAAGAAGCAAGUUAACGUGACAACAGACGCUGGCGUCUUUUAUGGAAACUUGUAUGCUACAUGACAAACUGCUGUGCUUAUCUCAUUAUUAUGAAACAAAUAUUUGAAAUCAGUUAUUAGUUGUUUUUCUGCAUUGUUCUCUGUUCCUGAAUUCAAUCAAUCAAUAAAGUAUGUCUCAGACUUUAAACACCAAGACAAUGUACAGACAAAUGAUGACAAAUGAUGCAGAAUGUAAAAUUAUUGUAUGGCUUAGUAAACUAGAUGAUCUUUCACUUUACAAGUGUUAUGAUCCCUGGAAUGAUGGUAUAAUUCUGGUGUCCAUUGCUAAUGAUGAUGUCCAAAAAAGUCCAUUUCAAUCUAAAUAGACUUGCAAUAAUCAAAUAAAUACCACAAACUACUGACCUCAAGCUUUCUGUAACUGCACAUGUAUGACUAAUGCUGAGAUAUCUUAGGCCAAAAAUGUAUCAAUGUGUGUGUGUGAAGCAAUUCAAAUCAAUAAAUGGCACUGCUGUA
ensembl:lncRNA